rnacentral:rRNA from 1 species
UGGUCAGCUUAUGGCAUUCUGGGCAUUCUAAUUGAACGGCCGUUGUGGACAACAUCCCCGCCCAGAAGUAGAUACCAAGGCUGCCCAUCAUGCUGAUAAGGCCGAUAACCAGCCCGAUCGCCGCAAUGAUUUUUCCCGAUUGACCCCAGAAUACAAUGCCUGCCGUACCAAGAACCAUUAGCCCCAUUCCCAGCAUCGUAAGGAGCAGUCCCCAUAGCCGGAACUCAUUAAUUUUACUGGAUUUAAACAACAUAGAUUAUACCCUCAAUUCUGAAUAGAUUAGGAUUGACUACAGAUUAGAAGAAGGAAACUUGAAUGCUGUGUAGAACUAUAUUAUAUCGAAUCGGCGAGAACUCGCCAAGGUUGGAGGUUGCUGUGGAAUCUACUCUUUUUUCUUUGGUGAAUGAUCACACGGUAGAACACCAUGCGGUAGGCGCCAUCGGUUACCGGCAUUCCGGCGGAGGAUUUCAUGGCUCGCUUCUGCAUGAUUUUGAGCUUCUGGUCUUAAUCAUUUGCGACAAUUGUGAUUUGAGUCUGCAGAUCGAACACUGUGUUAAAGGAAACUUGCAGUAUCAGGUUUUAUAUGUCUCCCAACAGGAUAUGAUUCAGUGGACACUCUCUGGGGAGCAUAGGGAGAUCAUGCAUUGUUUUAUGAAAGGCGAAAUUAUAUGGGAAACUCAAGGGAGAGUGGUUGAUCUGCGUUCUCAGAUUAUGGAGUUGGAACAGACAUUGAAGGAGCAAAGCCUGUUCAGAGAGUUCUCCAGAUUUCUUCGCAGAUAUCUAGAAGCAAAGAGAUACAGUGAAGACAGAUAUUUCAUGGAUGCUUAUCACAGCGUUCUUGAAGCACUUCAUCACUAUGCCCGAUUAGAAUUAUUGGAGCAGGGAAUACAGCCUGGCGGAUGUGUAUGGGAGCAAAUCAGCCACAGGGGAUCUGUAGUGUUCAAGCUGUAUGAGGAAAUUACGGAGAGCAGCGAGACGCUUGAACAGCGGAUACAGCUUGUUUUGCUGGCUUGUGAGUUCUCGGUAAUGUCCAAAAUGGCUCAUUGCUGCAAAUUCCUGCUGAAUAUAUUAAGCAGCAGACACGAGCCUUGGAGUAUACAGGAGUUAUGUAUGCAUCCGGAUUUGGUGCCGGUACGCGAGGAACUGCCCAUGCUUCUGCGGAAACUGGUAUACCGUUCUCUCGUUAGAGAGACGUCAUUGGGGCAUCAGGGAGGCGGUCCGACCUCACGUCACAUCCGUUAUUGGGCUAAUUAGAAGGUCUGGGGGAAAUAGGAAUUCCAGAUGGGUUGACGCAUCUGGUAGAUGUAUGAUAAAUUAUAACUCGCUGCUAAAAAGGUUGUAGAACUUUCGCGAAAUUGAAUCAAAUAAUUUUUCAAAAAAAGUUCUUGACUAUUAGAUGGCGAACNAUAACGGUCCUAAGGUAGCGAAAUUCCUUGUCAGGUAAAUUCUGACCCGCACGAAUGGCGUAACGACUUGGGCGCUGUCUCAACGAGAGAUCCGGUGAAAUUUUAAUACCUGUGAAGAUGCAGGUUACCCGCGACAAGACGGAAAGACCCCAUGGAGCUUUACUGCAGCUUGAUAUUGGACUUUGAUACGAUUUGUACAGGAUAGGUGGGAGCCUAGGAAGCCGGAGCGCCAGCUUCGGUGGAGGCACCGUUGGGAUACCACCCUGAUCGUAUCGGAGUUCUAACCUAGUACCGUGACCCGGUACGGGGACCGUGUCAGGUGGGCAGUUUGACUGGGGCGGUCGCCUCCUAAAGAGUAACGGAGGCGCCCCAAGGUUCCCUCAGAAUGGUUGGAAAUCAUUCGAAGAGUGCAAAGGCAUAAGGGAGCUUGACUGCGAGACUGACAAGUCGAGCAGGGACGAAAGUCGGGCUUAGUGAUCCGGUGGUACCGCAUGGAAGGGCCAUCGCUCAACGGAUAAAAGCUACCCUGGGGAUAACAGGCUUAUCUCCCCCAAGAGUCCACAUCGACGGGGAGGUUUGGCACCUCGAUGUCGGCUCAUCGCAUCCUGGGGCUGAAGUAGGUCCCAAGGGUUGGGCUGUUCGCCCAUUAAAGCGGUACGCGAGCUGGGUUCAGAACGUCGUGAGACAGUUCGGUCCCUAUCUGUCGUGGGCGUAGGAAAUUUGAGAGGAGCUGUCCUUAGUACGAGAGGACCGGGAUGGACGCACCGCUGGUGCACCAGUUGUUCCGCCAGGAGCACAGCUGGGUAGCUAAGUGCGGAAGGGAUAAGCGCUGAAAGCAUCUAAGCGUGAAGCCCCCCUCAAGAUGAGAUUUCCCAGUAUGUAAGACCCCUUGA